GACACUUACAAUGCUGAUAUAGAUUGCCAGUGGAUUGAUAUCACAGAUGUAAAACCUGGAAGUUACAUUCUGAAGGUUAGCGUAAACCCCAGCUAUUUGGUACCUGAGUCUGAUUAUUCCAACAAUAUAGUACGCUGUGAUAUACGCUAUACUGGCCACCAUGCAUAUGCCUCUGGCUGUACAAUUUCACCAUAUUAAGAAAGAUGCAAGAAAAUGGAUGAGCAGUGCCAAGCGUUUUGAACUGAAGGAUCAUUAUAUAAGCUUCAAGAGGAUAUAAACACUAUAGAAACAAAGCUACAGAACAUGCAUGCAUACACCCUCAUACCUUAUGUGAUUUUGAAGUACUUCAACUGCUUCUCAAAAUUUGCGAUGGGAUUUUAAGCAUUUGAAUUGGCAUUCCUUUUUAAACUAUUGAAAUGUGUGGAACUGGUGAUUCAUGCACAGACAUAU